AUGACUGGCAGCAGUUGCAGGAGGGAGACAACGGCCGUGACCCUGCUGGAGUGCGGGGGGGACCUCCAGCCCCCCGGGUGGUCCCUGCGCCUCCUCUGCCGAGGCUCCAGGUUCAGUUUUGGGAAUUUUGCCAUGAACUGGGUGCGCCAGAAACACGGGCAGGGGCUGGAAUACAUCGCCGGCAUCAACAGUGAUGGUGGCAGCACCCGGUACGCGGAAUCAGUCAAGGGCCGGUUCACGAUCUCCAGGGACAACGGGCAGAGCUCGGUGACACUGACCAUGAACAACCUCAAGGACGAGGAUUCCAGAUCCUAUUUCUGUGCCAAAUCUGCUGGUGCUGCUUGGGCUCCUGCUGCGCAUCCUUUUCUCCCCAUCCGCAUUGCUGUUUUCCCACUUGUCCCUAUUUUCCAGAUUCUUUCCCCAAACUCCAGCUCCUGA